CCUACGGGGUGCUGCAGUGAGGAAUAUUGGUCAAUGGACGCAAGUCUGAACCAGCCAUGCCGCGUGCAGGAAGACGGCUCUAUGAGUUGUAAACUGCUUUUGUACGAGGGUAAACGCAGAUACGCGUAUCUGUCUGAAAGUAUCGUAAGAAUAGGAGCGGACAACUCCGUGCCAGCAGCCGCGGGAAUUAGGAGGAUUCAAGCGUUAUCCGGAUUUAUUGGGUUUAAAGGGUGCGUACGCGGGCGGAUAAGUUAGAGGUGAAAUCCCGAGGCUCAACAUCGGAAUUGCCUCUGAUACUGUUCGGCUAGAGAGUAGUAGCGGUAGGCGGAAUGUAUGGUGUAGCGGUGAAAUGCUUAGAGAUCAUACAGAACACCGAUUGCGAAGGCAGCUUACCGAGCUGCUACUGACGUUGAGGCACGAAAGCGUGGGGAGCAAACAGGAUUAGAUACCCGAGUAGUC
rnacentral:rRNA from 1 species